rnacentral:rRNA from 1 species
UCCAGCUCCAAUAGCGUAUAUUAAAGUUGCUGCGGUAAAAAAGCUCGUAGUUGGAUUUCUGUUGAAGACGUCCGGUCCAUACCACGUAUGCGCAUCUGGCUCGGCUUCGGCAUCCUCUCGAAAGACGUUUCUGCGCUUGAUUGCGUGGAGCGGAUCUCGGGACUUUUACUUUGAGGAAAUUAGAGUGUUCACGGCAGGCUAUCGCCAGAAUACAUUAGCAUGGAAUAAUACUAUAGGAUCUCGGUUCUAUUUUGUUGGUUUCUAGAAUUGAGAUAAUGAUUAAUAGGGACAAUUGGGGGCAUUCGUAUCAACACGUUAGAGGUGAAAUUCUUGGAUCGUGUUGCGACGAACUACUGCGAAAGCAUUUGCCAAGGAUGUUUUCAUUGAUCAAGAACGAAAGUAAGGGGAUCGAAGACGAUUAGAUACCGUCGUAGUCUUUACCAUAAACUAUGCCAACUAGAGAUGGGACAUCGUUCACUUAAGACUUGUUCCGCACCUUAUGAGAUAUCAAAGUCUUUGGGUUCCGGGGGGAGUAUGGUCGCAAGUCUGAAACUUAAAGGAAUUGACGGAAGGGCACCACCAGGAGUGGAGCCUGCGGCUUAAUUUGACUCAACACGGGGAAACUCACCAGGUCCAGACAUAAUAAGGAUUGACAGAUUGAUAGCUCUUUCUUGAUUUUAUGGGUGGUGGUGCAUGGCCGUUCUUAGUUCGUGGAGUGAUUUGUCUGCUUAAUUGCGUUAACGAACGAGACCUUAACCUGCUAAAUAGGAGCGCCUAUCUCCGGAUAAGCGCCUUUCUUCUUAGAGGGACUUUAUGCGUUUCAGCAUGAGGAAGUUUGAGGCUAAAAC